rnacentral:lncRNA from 1 species
UUUAGUUGUGACGUUAUUUAAAUUAUGACGUCUUAUGCAAUGUAAACAAAGAAACGCUAUCAUUCGGUAACGUUUUUUCAUAUCAAGGAAUUAUUGAAAAUGAAAUUGGUAUUGCGCGUUCCUUCCUAUUUUAUACUAAACUGAUAAAUAUAUAUUUUACUCAAAGUUUCAUACAAACGAGAACGGAAAAAGGAAGUAUAUUGUACAUUUCUGCGCAGGUCCGGGAUUUCAAAACACGACAAAAAAAAUUUGAACGAUUUUGAGUUCAUUAGUACAAUGAAAAAUUCGGGAAAUUUUCCCGAAUUUUUUUUUUUUAUUGAAUUUUCUACUGUUAUUGGGGACUUCGUCCCCAUAUUAUUAAUGGAAA